GACGAACGCUGGCGGCGUGCUUAACACAUGCCAGUCGAACGGAAAGGCCCUGCUUUUGUGGGGUGCUCGAGUGGCGAACGGGUGAGUAACACGUGAGUAACCUGCCCUGGACUUUGGGAUAACUUCAGGAAACUGGGGCUAAUACCGGAUAGGAGCUCCUGCUGCAUGGGGGGGGUUGGAAAGUUUCGGCGGUGGGGGAUGGACUCGCGGCUUAUCAGCUUGUUGGUGGGGUAGUGGCUUACCAAGGCUUUGACGGGUAGCCGGCCUGGGAGGGUGGCCGGCCACAUUGCGACUGCGAUACGGCGCAGACGCGUACGGGAGGCAGCAGUGGGGAAUCUUGCACAAUGGGCGGAAGCGUGAUGCAGCAACGCCGCGUGCGGGAUGACGGCCUUCGGGUUGUAAACCGCUUUCGCCUGUGACGAAGCGUGAGUGACGGUACUGGGUAAAGAAGCACCGGCUAACUACGUG
rnacentral:rRNA from 1 species